ensembl:lncRNA
AAUCCGUGGCGGCUUUUUGUGAAAUUUUGGAAGUUGCCUGUGCUCUGCUGGAGCGAGAACAAUUCAGCGCAUUUUCCCAAAGUCCAUGUGUUGGAAACCUAAGCCCCAAAGCAAUGGUGCUGAGAGGUGGGAACUUUAAGAUGCAACUGAAAUGAAAAUUCAGCACAUUUUCCUUUCAGUUUUACUCUAGGACACAAGCCAACCUAAACCAGCUUGUGAGUUGCCAAUGUGGACAUAACCCUUGGGCAGUCAAAACGAUCGGAGCGUCAUCAGUGCCCCGCCUUAUUUAAGCUGCCUUCAGCUGCCUCGGGUGCUCUAGAGAUUCUUCCACCUGCACACUUCCUUUGUCUCCAAGUUUUGAACCUGCGGCAGGGUGCACAUGCGCAGCCUACACCUCCAUCUUGCCCUGACGGCAAAUCUGUGCCGGCCCGCCAGCAAUUUCCUCAAGUAUGCAAUGAGAGCGUUGUCCUUUCGAAGUCAUUUGAAACAGACCUGGUCUCAGCCGUCUCGGGAGAAUAUUCUUCGACUGAUAAUCACAGCCAAGUGGAAUACACAAAUGAACUGGAGCUGUCUAGUGGGGCCUUUCUCUCGCUGGCUCCCAGGAGGCCUGGCUGCAUGACCACUAUGCACCUAUUGAUCUGGGAGGAAGCCAGACACUCAGCCAGUGACGGCCGUGAGGAGUCGUCCCCCAAUUCUGGAACAAGAAGCGCAAGGAGGUUCGGAGGAGACUCUGUUCGAAUGAUUUUAAACUAAGUCAUGUUUAUCUGGGAUGGAUGUCAGAGGCAAGGAGACUGUAGAAAGGAACACUAUUAGAUUGCUACCACACUGAAAUUACCAUUGCUCAGUAAAGCAGCAGCUCCUGGGCAGUUGGGGGGAAAAAAACCACAUGCAUACACACACACACACACACACACACGCAUAUAAUUUUUGUUUCAGAGACACAGAGAGAAAUCUUCCUUCUAUUGGUUUACUCCCCAAUUGCCCACAAUAACACCUUAAUUUUCUCAUGUUGGUGGCAGGGACUCAACUACUUGAUUUAUCACCUGCUGCCUCCUAGGGUGUGCCUCAGCAAGAAGCUGGAAUGGAGACCCAGAGCCAGGACUUGAACCCAUGCACUCUGAUACGGGAUCCGGGCAUCCCAAGUGGUGUCUCGGCUUCUAUGCCCAAUUCACACCCCAACAUAUUCUUAUAAACUUGAAACAUGUAGCUCUGGCUGCAGAGUGAAAUCAAAGCACAUAUAAUUCAAUUUAAACUUCCUGGGUAGUAGUGGAACCCAAGUGUUAUAAAAAAUUUGCUUUAUUUAAAGAAAAAGAGAAGUGCUCAUUUCUCAGCUUUUAUUUUGUAUGUAGUACUCCCUCCUUGUCUGCAGGAGGGUCUACAUUCCAAGAUUUUCCUUCCAGCGAUGAUUGAAAUUAUAGGUAAUACCAAAGCUUACAUAUGCUAGGCUUUUGCUGUAUACAUACGUACAUACCAAUGAUAGUUUAAUUUGGAAGUAACACAGUAAGAGAUUAAAAACACAGUGAGAGUUUAAUAACAGUAGACACAGAAAGAAAUUAAUAACAAUAAUAGAAUAAUUAUGACAAUAUGAUGUAAUAAAAUUUGCUUAAAACACA